GUGAGGGGGAAUCAUGGAGGAGCCUUGAGGAAGAGGGAACCAGAGACUCAUGAAGAAGCUCCUGAGGAGAGAGAAUCCCUGCUGUGAGUUUCUCUGCUACCGUUAGGAGUAUCUCCACUUCACUUCUUUAGACCCCCCAAGUUAAUUCUGAUCCAGAAAGAAAACUGAGAGACAACAAGAAAAGGGCAGAGACCAGAGUAUUGAAAGAAUGCUGCAGAUGUUCUCAUUUAAACGUUCUGUGUCCUGUUAAGUAGAUGAGAGAGAAGUCUCCGUGCAAAGUCUCAACCACUUUUCAGAAUGAAGGUUAUGGAAAUAUUUUCCUUCUCCAUCAGGUUUUUUCAUCAUAUUGCUUCUGUCUCCUGAAUUCUUCCCUUUACCACCAAGGGCCUAGAGUGCGACAUUUAUUCCUACUACAGACAGUCUUCUCUGGUAUCAAGUUUUCACAGUCGUAGGAGACCAAAUUUCUAACCUAAAUUCCUUGGCACAGGAAUGUGCCACAUAAAACACAAUGAACUUUUAUCCUAGUAUGAUGUGCUUUCUUCUACUGUUGGCAUGAGUGGCUGUAAUCGGAUUAGGAAGAAGGAAAAAAGGUCUAGAGAAUAAGAAAUAUGGCAGCAUGGAAAUGUACAACUGAAAAGGAGCAAAGUAGAGUCAGCAUAACUUUUCCUUUUCUGCUGCAAGAAAACUGGAGUUUCUAAAACAAGUUGUAUUUUAAAAAAUAUAAAGCAAGCUGCCCAUUUCAUUUAAUGUCUUCUGAGAUUCAGUGUUGGAAAGUUCUCCUGUUCCCCAAGGAUGCAGUGGAUUUUCAUUUCAUCCCAUGGCAGAUUAGCCUGGAAGAAUAGCUUCUUCCUGCCCAGGAGCCAAGUAGCUGGGGAAAAGGCACCAGUGAAGGGAUAACAACACAGAGCAGUAUUCCUUGGGGAUGCUGCAGGCCAGGACCUGAGUGCCUCUGCCUAAUUCAAGCUCUACAUUCCACUUUAUGGAGUAAAUGGAAUUUAUGGAAUAUGGAAGCACUUUAUGACAUCUGUGAGGACUGCUGUGGUCUGGAGGCUUUCACAGUUCAUCUAGCAUCAGCUAGGAAUUUGUGACCAUGUUGGAUGAAACAAUUUGGGACAUUGUACUCCAGAGGGUAGAGAGCGUUCUCUUUGCCUGUGCUGAAACACUAACUUGGCUUUUGUAGAAUAAAGUGCAUUUUCAAGACUAUCUCACCCGUCUUCUAAAUAAAUUCAUAAA